GGUAGAGCUCAGUUGGUAGAGCGCUCCACUUGUAAUGGAGAGGUCCCGGGUUCGAUACCCGGACCA
rnacentral:tRNA from 1 species